rnacentral:rRNA from 1 species
UGGGGAAUUUUGGACAAUGGGCGAAGCCUGAUCCAGCAAUGCCGCGUGUGUGAAGAAGGCCUUCGGGUUGUAAAGCACUUUUGUCCGGAAAGAAAUCCUUGGCUCUAAUACAGUCGGGGGAUGACGGUACCGGAAGAAUAAGCACCGGCUAACUACGUGCCAGCAGCCGCGGUAAUACGUAGGGUGCAAGCGUUAAUCGGAAUUACUGGGCGUAAAGCGUGCGCAGGCGGUUUGCUAAGACCGAUGUGAAAUCCCCGGGCUCAACCUGGGAACUGCAUUGGUGACUGGCAGGCUAGAGUAUGGCAGAGGGGGGUAGAAUUCCACGUGUAGCAGUGAAAUGCGUAGAGAUGUGGAGGAAUACCGAUGGCGAAGGCAGCCCCCUGGGCCAAUACUGACGCUCAUGCACGAAAGCGUGGGGAGCAAACAGGAUUAGAUACCCUGGUAGUCCACGCCCUAAAACGAUGUCAACUAGUUGUUGGGGAUUCAUUUCCUUAGUAACGUAGCUAACGCGUGAAGUUGACCGCCUGGGGAGUACGGUCGCAAGAUUAAAACUUAAAUGAAUUGACGGGGUCAUAGCUG